rnacentral:rRNA from 1 species
UACAUGGGGUGCAAACGUUGCUCGGAAUUAUUGGGCGUAAAGCGCACGUAGGCGGUUCGUUAAGUCGGAUGUGAAAGCCCUCGGCUCAACUGAGGAAGUGCACCCGAAACUGGCGAGCUUGAGUACGAAAGAGGAUCGCGGAAUUCCCGGUGUAGAGGUGAAAUUCGUAGAUAUUGGGAAGAACACCGGUGGCGAAGGCGGCUCACUGGCUCGUAUCUGACGCUCAGGCGCGACAGCGUGGGGAUCAAACAGG